rnacentral:rRNA from 1 species
GAUGAACGCUAGCGGCAGGCUUAAUACAUGCAAGUCGAGGGGCAGCAGGGGUGUAGCAAUACACUCGCUGGCGACCGGCAAACGGGUGCGGAACACGUACGCAACUUACCCAAAACUGGGGAAUAGCCCGGGGAAACCCGGAUUAAUACCUCGUAACAUAAUGAAGUGGCAUCACUUUAUUAUUAUAGCUCCGGCGGUUUUGGAUGGGCGUGCGCCUGAUUAGGUAGUUGGCGGGGUAACGGCCCACCAAGCCUACGAUCAGUAACUGGUGUGAGAGCACGACCAGUCACACGGGCACUGAGACACGGGCCCGACUCCUACGGGAGGCAGCAGUAAGGAAUAUUGGUCAAUGGACGCAAGUCUGAACCAGCCAUGCCGCGUGAAGGAUGAAGGUCCUCUGGAUUGUAAACUUUCUUUUAUAUGGGACGAAACCUCUUUUUCUAGAGAGACUGACGGUACCAUAAGAAUAAGCACCGGCUAACUCCGUGCCAG